rnacentral:ncRNA from 2 species
AGUGAGUUUAGAGGUGCAAAAACCAUUAGUACACUUUUAGAGGAUGAUGAGAUCCUAUGAAAAAUGUGGAAAGGGGAAUUUGCCGAAGCGGCAUACUACUCACAAGUAUGUUGCUGGUUCUGUCAUUGAAUAAGUGCAGGACUGUCAUAUAGUUCAUUUUUAAUGACACUAUAUGGAGGGCUAUCUCACGC